rnacentral:rRNA from 1 species
GACGAACGCUGGCGGCGUGCUUAACACAUGCAAGUCGAACGGAAAGGCCCCUUCGGGGUACUCGAGUGGCGAACAGGUGAGUAACACGUGAGUAACCUGCCCUUGACUUCGGGAUAACUUCAGGAAACUGGGGCUAAUACCGGAUAGGAAUCCUUGCUGCAUGGUGGGGGUUGGAAAGCUUCGGCGGUUUUGGAUGGACUCGCGGCUUAUCAGCUUGUUGGUGGGGUAGUGGCUUACCAAGGCUUUGACGGGUAGCCGGCCUGAGAGGGCGACCGGCCACAUUGGGACUGAGAUACGGCCCAGACUCCUACGGGAGGCAGCGGUGGGGAAGAUUGCACAAUGGGCGGAAGCCUGAUGCAGCAACGCCGCGUGCGGGAUGACGGCCUUCGGGUUGUAAACCGCUUUCAGCAGGGGCGAAGCUUGUGGUGACGGUACCUGCAGAAGAAGCACCGGCUAACUACGUG